AAGCAAUGGGUUGGAGAUUUUCACCGGCAAUACUUAGUGAGCGAAUCAGAUAGACAUUAGGUGCAUGCAUGCUUAUACCAUGACAUUUCUCAAAGAAUCAAUAGAUGUUCCCCUAUCACUAAAAUAAAUUUUCACUUGAAAAUCUCUAAUUAAAUAUUGUUCUAGUGCUCAGAACUUUAGGCAAUUUUUUGAGUCAAUAUUAUCAACACAUAG
rnacentral:lncRNA from 1 species